rnacentral:lncRNA from 1 species
UGUAUCUUUGAGCACCCAUGGUUUUUAACAAGAUUAGAAAUGAAAAAGAUAGAAGAAGUGAUCACCAAAAAUUAGGCAUAUAUAGAAUUCCAGCCAGUAUCACCAACAUACAGCAACUUAUGGCUUACAUAGGUGUAACCAAGAGGAUACUAAAAAAGAGGAUUGAGGCACUCAAAAAAGAUCUAGCAAAUAAAAGAAUUACCACUUCUCUAAUUAUGGAAGCCUAUUCUAAUGAUUUGCAAGUGGACUGAUAUGAUGCAAAUAUCAUAAAACGUAUACAAGUAAAAUCCCAAGCUUAUUUAACAAAAUCCUUAGAAAUCCUAAAGGCUAAACAUAAAGGACAUCUGUUAACGACAAACCAACUGUGGAGCUUCCCUCAUCAUGGGCAUACCUCUUGAAAAACUGGAAAGAAGGACAAUAGAAGAGAAAGGCCAUCACCGGGAACACGUAAAAAACCUACUUUAACAGUUUUACAUACCAACUUUUUCAAUUCAUAUACAUUAAAGAACUUUUUGUUUUAUUUUAUUUUAUCUUAUUUAUUUUUAUUUAUGUUUUUUAUUAUUUUUUGUUAAAGUAC